rnacentral:rRNA from 1 species
AGUGAACGCUGGCGGUAGGCCUAACACAUGCAAGUCGAACGGCAGCACAGGAGAGCUUGCUCUCUGGGUGGCGAGUGGCGGACGGGUGAGGAAUACAUCGGAAUCUACCUUUUCGUGGGGGAUAACGUAGGGAAACUUACGCUAAUACCGCAUACGACCUUCGGGUGAAAGCAGGGGACCUUCGGGCCUUGCGCGGAUAGAUGAGCCGAUGUCGGAUUAGCUAGUUGGCGGGGUAAAGGCCCACCAAGGCGACGAUCCGUAGCUGGUCUGAGAGGAUGAGCAGCCACACUGGAACGGGGACACGGGCCAGACUCCUACGGGAGGCAGCAGUGGGGAAUAUUGGACAAUGGGCGCAAGCCUGAUCCAGCCAUACCGCGUGGGUGAAGAAGGCCUUCGGGUUGUAAAGCCCUUUUGUUGGGAAAGAAAAGCAGCCAGUUAAUACCUGGUUGUUCUGACGGUACCCAAAGAAUAAGCACCGGCUAACUUCGUGCCAGCCGCCGCGGUAACAC